rnacentral:lncRNA from 1 species
CUCUCCCUCUUGAGCCGUGGCCACCCUCUCCCUCUCCUUUGGUUUCAGCCGCAAGCAAGGGAAGAAGAACUCCAAGUGUUGGCGGCAUCCUCUUCCUCCCUUCUUCCUUCCAACGCAGGGAAAAGAAAGAAGGCUGCGUGCGGAUUCUUCUUCUUCCUCUUCUUCAUCCUUCUUCUUCCUCCUCUCAAGCACAAUCAAGGGUUGAUUGAAAGAGAAGAGAUCAGCCAUCAAAAGAAGUCUUUGCAAGGGAGCUAGCACCCCGGGAAGACAAGAAAGCUUUGAUCGGUCCUCUGCUUCGUGUGGAUACCCGUAGAGGCCGGACGUUUGAACGGCUUCAAAC